UCAAAAUUGACACGUGAGGGUUAUACGUGCAUGCAUACUGAACCAUGUAAAAUUCAUAUCUGAAAAUUGUACAUCUAUCUAUCUAUCUAUCUAUCUAUAUAUAUAAAAUAUUCUUUACUCUCUCCAGAACGCGCCACCUCAGCGCCACAUCAGAAAGUCGAAUUUUGCGGACUCGACAGGUGUCUCGCCUAUACUAAACGCUGCGCUUCAUUAAAAUUGUUUCUGAUGGGCUUCUGAAUAUUAGAUUUUGGCCCACUGAUGAUCACUUUGUUUUCUUCACCUUGACGGGAAAGAACCUUAGAGUUUCCACCGUCGUAAAGCUUAUGUCGCCUUCCUUCACCAAUGAUGAAGGUCCUUCCCGGUGCCAUCCAUUUUCACCGGCGAAUGAUUGAUGCAAGCCUCUGUCUGCGUCGAUUCGCUUCCAACUCUUCUCAUACGUUUCGAGAUUGGCAACGUGACGUAACUCCCGUCCAUUCAAUCACUGUCAUUAAAGUUUUAAUUGCCUCCAUCUACCCACUCCUUCGACGAUUUCACUUUCAGUACAUCCCUUUCCUUCAAGUCGUCGGUGCAUCUGCAGCUAUAUAUAGAUGUACUUGGCAGACAAAAAUCUCAGAAACAUGGGGCAGAGCAUGAUACAGAGGAACUGGAAAGUCUCAAUCAUAGGAUUGAACUUAAGAGGUUAUGCCUUAUGUGUGAGCCGAUAGUCAAGAGCGAGAAGUUAAACGAAAGUUGGCUAUUUCCUCACAUGGGAGACUUGCUGCCAGAAGAGUUCACGCUGCAUGUUGAUUACCGGUCCGUGAUCCAUUUUCUCUUCCCGAAGUUUCGUCGGACUCAUCUACAAGAUCAAUAAAAGGUUAUCCAGAUAGUCAUAAGAGGCUUAGAAAGCUCAUAGGGUGAAGGAGAGGAAGCUUUGAGAGAGUGAUAAAAAUGUGGAAUCUCUAUGCCUGAUUUCUAACAAAGAAAUCAAAAUUCAGAGCAAGAUGGUACCAUUUUCUGCCCAAAUCUUAAUCCACAUCCUAUAGAUACUACCUAUGUAUGGGCUAAAGUUGUACCUAGAUGCCCCAUCAGAGAUCGACGCAGUCACUUGGUCCAAGUGAAACUGACAUCACUUGCUGACUGAUUUGCUCAGUUAUGGUCAGUGUGGUUCAGACAUGGAAGAGACAUUUAGGUGGAGUAUCAUACAGUGUCAUUUUAUGACUACAUCACUACGUUUGUUAUGCUGCCUCUUUGUGUUCGUUCUUGACACUUCGACAAUAUUUCCUUUGUUAUGUAAAUAUAAUCUUUUGGUGUUGAAAAACUUAUAAUAUUUGUCAACAAUCUCUUCUUCUUUAAUUACAGCUGAACUGAACUAAAAAGGUUAUGUACAACUCAUGGAAGCCAAUUCAAAAGCAUCAAAACUUACGAUUAGAAAGAAAAUUUAGACAAGUUUGAUGACCUCGAAAUUCUCAAAUAUCGAAUUGUGUGAAUGCUUUGAUGAAUCCAAAUAACAAAAAAACAUAGGCAUAUUUCAAAAUAAAGAAAGCUUUAAUCGCUAAUUCUCUUCCUUGAAUUAUACAAAAUGGAUAACCUAAGAGUAAUAUAUAAAAAUGUUCAGAUUCUGAAAAAGACAGACUUCGUCCUGAUUACCCAAAGACCCAACUAUACAAUACCAGAGAAGAGGCAGAAAUAAGAAAAAUGCCCCUAAAUUUAAUCACCAAAUCAAAACACAAUAAUGUCAUAAGAAUCAGUAUUUAAUGGAAAACGACGUAAUUAGUUCAAACAAAAACUUAGAACACAUACAAAAAAUUAAGGAACAUUCAAUUGUUAUCCCUGAACUGAAGCUAAUUAAACGGAACUCUACACAUCUACAACAAAAACUAUAUAACAAAAUUGCUCAACAUCGUAUAGCUUCAUACACACAAGUACACCUUAAUGAUAAAAACCAACAAAUAAACAUCAUAAACCACAAAAGACAACAUUCUGCGGAAACAAACAUAGAGUAAUAUAUUUAA